GCCGGGUGGCCGCACGUCGCGCAGGCUGAUGACGUAAAGAAGCUGCCGUCGCUGCCCUUUACCAAGAUGGCCACCCGCCGGGCCGCCGGGGCUUCCUAUAAGACUGCCCCACCGCGCGUGCGCGCUCCUCGCCGCUCCUCUUCGGAGUCAAGGAGGGGGCUGCCACCGCCUGAACUGGGGAGGGGGUGGGCCUCGCUGUGGGCUCUGUGGAAGGUAGAAUAAUAAUCCUAAAACUCAGUAUAGUCCUUACGUGCCAGGAACUGUUCUAAGCGCUUUCCCUCUAUUUAUUUCAAACUCACAAGCAGGCUGAGUACGAGUGUACAUGCGGGUGCACACACAUGUGAACGAGGACUGCAGGAUCCGUGAAGAUUUAUUUAUUUAUUUGAGAGAGCGAGAAUGAGAGAGAGCACAUGAGAGUGGGGAGGGUCAGAGGGAGAAGCAGACUCCCCGCCGAGCAGGGAGCCCGACGCGGGACUCGAUCCCGGGACUCCAGGAUCAUGACCUGAGCCGAAGGCAGUCGCUUAACCAACUGAGCCACCCAGGCGCCCUAAUUCUGCUUCUGAAGAAUGUUUUCUUCAGGCUGCUUCUCCCUCACGUGGUAACCUCUAAGCUACAUUCACUUAACAUCUGUCAAAUGAAUAAAUGAAGUUAUAGGUUGGGAAGGAAAGAAUUGUCCUGCUCAGUGAUUUCCACCCCUUACAGCACAUGUGACUCGGCUGUGGAAUUUUCAGGAAAAAAAACCAAAACCAGAACCUCCCAAAAGAGGGGGGAGCUUCAUCCGAAUCACAGUUUAUCACCUUCUGACCCAGGCUUGUGUACUUCAAGUGAUUUCAAGCCCAGCCCAGGGUUGAGACUCAUUAUUGAGGUCACUGGUGGCAGAAAGAGAUUCUGGCGCUUAGUCUCCAGCCGGUGCCCGUGGCAGACAUCAGUAAUUGAUCUCAGGUCUCAGGAGUCUUAACUGCGCCCUAGGCAGCCAUCAUCAACCAAUCCAUCUGAGCUGUGGGAGGAGCUCAAGGGGACAGGAGCAGGGCACGGUGCUGCAGUCCGUUCUCUCUUGACACGGUGAACCUGAACCUCUCUGGGACUUGUUCCAGGCUCUAGCCUGGAGCACCUCUUCGAGGAGCCUUGGUCUCCCAGGCGGCCCCUCCUCUCGUCCUGCGCCCCCCUUCACUUCCAGACACCCCCUCCCAUGGCGACUCUGAGCCUCCUCCAGUUCUGUCCCUGCCACAGCCCACGUGUGUCAGACUGCUCACCUCCACGCAAGCCUCCAUUGUGGCAUGUGGCGGAGGCAGGUGGUUCUUGCCCACCUUUCCCAGGCAAGGGCUCCUGUCGUCCCCCCUUCCACUUGCCACACCCGCUUGGUCUUCGUGCCCUGCCCACCGAAGUCGUGUCCCCCCUCAUCCUGGGCACCUGGAACAAAUACCACCAGGGCUUUCAACCCUCCUUCCAUGAGGGGCCUCUUCCACCCUCCUUACCACCGUCCGUACCCUCCCUUCUCCAGCCAGCUGAGGGCUGGUACUGCCACCCACCGUCCCAGCGGAGGAAACUGAGGCCCGCAGAACCCAGAGGCCAUAGGAUCAAGCCAGGCGCUCCCAGACUCCCGAGCCCACCCAUCCCCAGGCCUCCCCCAGGACCUCUGACCCCAGCCCCAUCUUCAGUUAUGCUCGCCCUCUUCUUUCCCACCAAGUGUGCCCAGAGCCCAAGGCAGGUACCAGGAGGGGCAGGAAGACAGGACACCAGCCCUGAAGGGAGAAGGGGGCAGCAGAGUUGAGGAGGAAAAAGAGAGACUCAUGCAAAGUGUUCUUUUUUAUUUUCUUUCUUAGGCCAACUGCAGCUUCCGACCACAAAACCUCAAAGCACUACAGAAGGAGCAGAUGUAGGGGUGGGUGCAGGGAUGACCCUCUGAGCUCCAGGGCCUGCGGUCUAUCCUGAGAGGUCAGGGCUGCAGGAGGCUGGGUGGGGGUUGGGGGGUGGGGCGGGGUCCCAGCACUGGAGGGGAAGGAGCCCACCCCCGUGGAGAGAGCAAAUCUCAGCAGCUACAUGUGCUCAGAGCUCGGCUGGAGGACAAGUGGGAACGACAGAAACCAGCCCCGUGCCUCAGCUGGUCAGGAUAUGGGGGACCAGAUGCUGACCCCCACCCCUGGCAGCACCCACAGCAAAUAAGUCUGUGUCAAAGAGUCUAUGUUUUGGGGCAGAGAAGG